GUAAUGUGAAUUGCAGAUUCAGUGAAUCAUCGAAUCUUUGAACGCACAUGGCACCCUCDRGUAUUCCGGAGGGUAUGCCUGUUUGAGUGUCAU
rnacentral:rRNA from 1 species